UACGUAGGGGGCGAGCGUUAAUCGGAAUUACUGGGCGUAAAGCGUGCGCAGGCGGUGAUGUAAGACAGAUGUGAAAUCCCCGGGCUCAACCUGGGAACUGCAUUUGUGACUGCAUCGCUGGAGUGCGGCAGAGGGGGAUGGAAUUCCGCGUGUAGCAGUGAAAUGCGUAGAUAUGCGGAGGAACACCGAUGGCGAAGGCAAUCCCCUGGGCAUGCACUGACGCUCAUGCACGAAAGCGUGGGGAGCAAACAGG
rnacentral:rRNA from 1 species